rnacentral:rRNA from 1 species
UCGGGAAUUUUGGGCAAUGGGCGAAAGCCUGACCCAGCAACGCCGCGUGAAGGAUGAAGUAUUUCGGUAUGUAAACUUCGAAAGAAUAGGAAGAAUAAAUGACGGUACUAUUUAUAAGGUCCGGCUAACUGCGUGCCAGCAGCCGCGGUAAUACGUAGGGACCAAGCGUUGUUCGGAUUUACUGGGCGUAAAGGGCGCGUAGGCGGCAAUUCAAGUCAUCUGUGAAAUCUCCGGGCUUAACUCGGAACGGUCAGAUGAUACUGCUUUGCUAGAGUGCAGAAGGGGCAAUCGGAAUUCUUGGUGUAGCGGUGAAAUGCGUAGAUAUCAAGAGGAACACCUGAGGUGAAGACGGGUUGCUGGGCUGACACUGACGCUGAGGCGCGAAAGCCAGGGGAGCAAACGGGAUUAGAUACCCCCGUAGUCCCUGAGCGGGCUGGCAAGGCGCAU